AAAAAAUUAUAUAAUAUGGUAAAAUACUUUACACAAAUCUGAUUGGGUAACAUUUCUCUUUAUUAGAGAAUUCUCCAUUCUUUUUGUUUUAUUUUUUAAUUUUUAAAAUAUUUUAAUUAGGUACUUUUCUCAUUUACAUUUCCAAUGCUAUCCCAAAAGUUCCCCAUACCCUCCCCCCCCACACUCCCCACCCACCCAUUCCCACUUUUUGGCCCUGGCAUUCCCUUGUACUGGGACAUAUAAAGUUUGCAAGUCCAAUGGGCCUCUCUUUCCAGUGAUAGCCGACUAGGCCAUCUUUUGAUACAUAUGCAGCUAGAGACAGGAGCACUAGGGUACUGGUUAGUUCUUCUCCAUUCUUUCUACAGGAAAAGAUUUUUGCAUUCCAAUGUAGCCCCAAAAAGAACACUAAUACAUAAAUGUUUCAAACACAUCAAUCAGUUCUAGGUGAAGCAGGAGGAAAAGAUAGAAUUGAUAUCACUUACAGCUGUCUACAGUCUGCUUUACCAAUCUUUCUCCAAUAGUUUCCUUUUCUGAGGAUGUUUCCAUGGUGAGACACGGGCCACUCACUGAAUAGGAGAGGGACUAAGUGCUUUGAAAAGAAUUGGAGCAUCAGAACUCUCAUAUUCAUGUUGUGUGAGCUAGGCAUGUGCACAACUUUCACAGUGCUCAAUGAAGACAGAAGAUUAGUUGUGGUGUAAAGGUACCUUCAUACAUGGUGAAAGUAACAAAAUGAUAAUAUUUUAAAGAAAGGUUUGGAAAACAAUUUUGCAAAAACAUUCCAGAUUUCCAAUUGAGGGUAGAGUGGAAUUCCACUCACUAAUAUAAGCACAUUUAUCAUCUUUCACAACAUUGGGUUUCUCUGUUUCAGAUUGUUUUAUCUCUUUACUGAAUCCAGUUACCUGCAAUAGCAUUUUCAUUUUUUUAGAAAAAUACCUGCCAUUGUUGUUAUUUCUACAUAGUUGUAAUUAUUUUAAUACCACCUAAAUUUUUUAUGGAUAAUGAUGAAUUUUUAUAUGUACCUAAAAUAGUUUCUUACUGGUAUGCUAUUGUAACAUAUCUGUAUUGUUUAGUGCUCAUGAAAGCUAAAAUAUAUAAAUAUUAUCAUUUACAUAAGGUUAAAGUAAGUGGUAAAGACUUGUAUGAUAUCAGAUAUGUGCUUCCCCUGAUUAAUACAACAUUGUCUAUUAAAGACUGUUUAUAUCACCUCCAAAUCCUGGAAAAAGAAACUAAAAAGAGUCACAGUGAAACCAACAGAAGUUAUGAAACAAAUGGACUUAACAGAUAUCUACAGAACAUUUUAUCCUAAAACAAAAGGAUAUACCUUCUUCUCGCACUUCAUGAUGCUUUCUCCAAAAUUGACCAUAUAAUCGAUCACAAAACAGGCCUCAACAGAUACAAAAAUAUUGAAAUUAUCCCAACCAUCCUAUCAGAUCACCACAGACUAAAGCUGAUCUUUCAUAACAACAUAAAGGGGACUUUCGGGAUGGCAUUUGAAAUGUAAUGAAGAAAAUAUC
rnacentral:lncRNA from 1 species